CUACACACAACUAAAGAACAUUUGAUCAUGGUAAAUAGAUAGCAAGGAUUCAUCUACUAGACAAGGGCAAAAGCAAAAGAAGCAUAGGAAACCCUAAUCCCUAAUUGCAGCUCCACUCCUCCAUCAGGGCGGGAAAUUUAGGGAUUCAUUGAACGCGUCUUCGAUCCAUCAGAGUCUUGUCUGACUAUGCUGUGAUCUCCCCGCAUGCUCCAUCGCUGGAGGAUCAUUGCCAGUGAGCCUUUUACUCGCUCUCUAUCCUUAAUGUGGUCUCUUACUGGUUCCUCAUCUCCUAAUGUUGAAGACCAGAAGUGGGUUUUGCAAGGAGUGGGGAAGCAAUUUGCCAAGGUUUGCGAUUUCCUCAACCUCUCAAAGUUUUCUAAUUUUGUUGGAUGGAUUUAAUUUGGUUUUUGUUUGGCUGCUUGAUUAGGAAGGAGAGGAUGUGGGAGUUGGCUCUUUGAAUGUUUGAUUUCCUUCUAUUUUUGCAAGUUUGGAUCUAGGGUUUUGUUCUAUGCGUGGUUAAGAUUUCUUGGUUAAAGAUAGCCAGCAAAGCACCUUGAAGAAACUUCAAAGCCAACAUACAUGACAGAUAUUGGUGUUGUAACAACAUCAAAGAUCCUCUGUUCUUUGAAGUUGAAGAUGAAUUGGAAGUUCCUAGGUAGCUUCAUUAGGGACAUAAUAUCGAUUGAAUAGGCCUUGGCCAACCCCCGCAGCACUGGGACUUACACGAGCUUCUCCGGGCACAAUCACUCAUCCGACCUCGUCUCACCACCAUCGGUUUGGAAUUUGGCGCCGGAUUUUGAAUCUGAAGUUGUUCUUGUUUGGGAGUUUAUUAAGGCUUGCAAUGGUUAAACCAAAAGAUCCCAAGACCAAAAAUAAAGGUAAAGGUCAAGCGAUUGAAACAAGCAACAAUCGUCCUACAAGGAAUUCUGCAUAUUGUCCACCUUUGAAAGUUAACUUCCACAAUUCAAUCUACCAUGGCACCUGUCACGGUCCUCCCGAUCACACCAACGAUCACCACGCGGCGCUCGUCAGCACCUUCUAUGGGUACUCUAGGCAAUCAACCAUCAACAAAUAAGAUUCACCACUUGAAGCACCAUCUAAUUCUUCGAUUGAACCAAUAGUAAAUGAGACAUUGGAUUUUGGUUCUUGUGGAUUAUCGACUGCAUGUGAUAAUAUUGCAAGACAAGAUAUACAAACAGAAUUGCAAGACAAGAUAAUAUUGCACCAACGAUCACCACGUCAAAUAGGGGUCCUACUUUAGGAAGAAUUGCUCCAGAAGAUGCAAACAGAAAAUGUACUUUGACAAUUCCUACUGAUAGGUAAUUUGAAAAAAUUUG